rnacentral:tRNA from 1 species
GCCUUUGUAGCAGAACUGGUAUAUGCGGCGGGCUCAGAACCCGCGCCGGACUAAGAUCCAUUGUGAGUUCGAUUCUCACCAAAGGCA